GUGGGGGUUGACCACUGCAGAACAGUAAGGCCAGGCUGUUAGGAGGAGCCUGUAGAUGUUGAAAGCUUCCUAACCUGCACUGUUAUUUAUAUAGACCUUAUGUAAGCCUUGUUCGGGCUUAACAAAAGAAGCUUCAUUAGCAGUGGACACAGAUCUCAUUGUUAAAUGAAACCUUACAGGUGGAGGUUACUUUGUCAUUCACAUUGCUAAAGAGUGUUGGUGUUUGUGGAAGGAAUUACUCUGUGCUAAAUCUGGAAGGUUGGUCUUCAUUAGCAAUGAGGAAGGCACGAAGCUGCACUGUUCAGAAGAAGCAAGAUUCCUUCCUCACAGCUACGGCGCUGCGACACAGCCUGCUUUUUCGCAUUUACCUGGGUGGCUGCUGCUGGUUCUGCUGCUGCCGCUGCAGCCUCGCUGCCUGCGCUUCACCCCAGCUUGGCUGAUGCGAGUCUCCCUCAUCUGUACAUCGCUAAGGAAGAGAAGCGAUGGAGCCGCAAUUUUUCUGUUGGUUCUGGAAGCAAAGGGUUGUGAUGUGGGGUGGCUUGGGGGGGUUUUCUUUUUUUAUGUUUUUUUGGUGGGGAAAGAAAGGAGGGAUAUUAAUAUAGGGUGGAGU
rnacentral:lncRNA from 1 species